GAAUGGAUGCCUGUGAAGCAUAGAUUCAUCCUAACAGCAAUACAGCUCAGGAACAAAAGCAUAAAGCUUCGGGUGGAAAGCAUGCUGUUUUGUUAUUUCUAACGAGCAAACGCACAAGAGGUGGAGGAGGGCCUAAGAAAAUGCUGAACUUGAGGUGGAUUUAAAGGGAGAUUAAGAUUAUAGCGGCUGAGUCAUUUAGACUUCAGUUGGGAGAAUACGUAUGAAGACUGCCUACUUAGGGAAGAGUUUCGGGAUUUCCUUUUUGUUUCUCACUGACAUUAAUUAUGAGGUUACUCUUCUUCAAUCCUAUUAUUGCCGGAAUUUAACAUUGCGUAUCUAGUUUCAGAUUCAGUCAGAAGAGGAUACUAGCCCAUGUUGAUUCAUUGGAGACGAAGACAGAAGGAUCAGCAGGUCGUCAGAGGGUCCAUUAUACACGUGAUAUUUAACUGCCUGCAUGAUCUUGAGAGAAAAGAGAUAUGAUGGGGAUUGUGUCGGACCCCGUUUUGUGGCCACUCUUUACAGGUCAAGGAGAAAGGAGAGCGAACAUGGGGCUGACAGCUUCGUGGUGGCACUCAACGCCUACUCUUUCUCCUAUCAACUUCCACAGAUCUCACUUUGCAGGGCAUAGGUAGAGGGGUAGCACUCAAGCCUGGAUUUUUGGAGUUACCCCAGUGCACCCAGGAAUAUGAAUCCGUUUUUAUACAAAACUAGGUCAAAAAGUCAGUUCCCUUCUGCCUAACCACAUAAGCUUGCUUGCUUGUUGAGGUAAUGCCAUGUGCUGCUUGUUUACUGAAUUGGGUAGGUGCGGAUCCAA